GACAGAGGGUGCAAACGUUGUUCGGAAUUACUGGGCGUAAAGCGCAUGUAGGCGGCUCGUAAAGUCGGAUGUGAAAGCCCUGGGCUCAACCCAGGAAGUGCACCCGAAACUCACGAGCUCGAGUCCUGGAGAGGAAAGCGGAAUUCUCGGUGUAGAGGUGAAAUUCGUAGAUAUCGAGAGGAACACCGGUGGCGAAGGCGGCUUUCUGGACAGUGACUGACGCUGAGAUGCGAAAGCGUGGGGAGCAAACAGG
rnacentral:rRNA from 1 species